AACCUGGCGGCGUGCCUAACACAUGCAAGUCGAACGCCCUCUUCUUUCGGGAAGAGGGAGUGGCGGACGGGUGAGUAACACGUAGGUGACCUACCUUGAGGUGGGGAAUACCAACGAGAAAUCGUUGACAAUUCCGCAUAGGUUCUCUUCGGAGAGCAAAGCUUCGGUUCAUCCGAGGCGCCACAAGAUGGGCCUGCGUCUGAUUAGCUAGUUGGUGGGGUAAUGGCCUACCAAGGCGACGAUCAGUAGCUGAUCUGAGAGGAUGAUCAGCCACACUGGGAUUGAGAACGGCCCAGACUCCUACGGGAGGCAGCAGUGAGGAAUUUUCCGCAAUGGGGGAAACCCUGACGGAGCAACGCCGCGUGCAGGAGGAAGGUCUACGGAUCGUAAACUGCUUUUACCGGGGAAGAGAACGGACGGUACCCGGUGAAUAAGCCCCGGCUAACUACGUGCCAGCAGCCGCGGUAAUACGUAGGGGGCGAGCGUUAUCCGGAAUUAUUGGGCGUAAAGGGCACGCAGGCGGUCCUGCACGUGGAUGGUGACAACUCCUGGCUUAACUGGGAGAGUG
rnacentral:rRNA from 1 species